rnacentral:piRNA from 1 species
UAGUCAACUGAACACUGGGCCACUUACCUC